rnacentral:rRNA from 1 species
GACGAACGCUGGCGGCGUGCUUAACACAUGCAAGUCGAACGGUGAAGCGCCUUCCUUUUUGGUGGGUGUGGAUGAGUGGCGAACGGGUGAGUAACACGUGAGUAACCUGCCCCCUUCUUCUGGAUAACCGCAUGAAAGUGUGGCUAAUACGGGAUAUUCUGGGUCUGUCGCAUGAUGGGUCUGGGAAAGAUAUUGUUUCGGUGGGGGAUGGGCUCGCGGCCUAUCAGCUUGUUGGUGGGGUGAUGGCCUACCAAGGCGGUGACGGGUAGCCGGCCUGAGAGGUUGGACGGUCACACUGGGACUGAGACACGGCCCAGACUCCUACGGGAGGCAGCAGUGGGGAAUAUUGCACAAUGGGCGCAAGCCUGAUGCAGCGACGCCGCGUGAGGGAUGGAGGCCUUCGGGUUGUGAACCUCUUUCGCCAGUGAAGCAGGCCUGCCUCGUUUGUGGGUGGGUUGACGGUAGCUGGAUAAGAAGCGCCGGCUAACUACGUG